AUUGUCAAGGGGGUAUGUCUGGAGUCCUGAUGACAGUUGCAGGGUAGAAACUAUGCUUCUGCUUAAAGCAAAUAUUUUAGGAAUGUCCUUCUCUGUUUUCCUGUCUUCCUCCCCCCGCCCCAGUGUCUGCUGAGAACUUGAAGAAAAGCUUAAAUGUGACAAAAGAACAGAUUUUUUGAAUGUGCAAUGUAAUAUUCUGAACUUCCCAGCUGAUACAGAUGAGAAUGACAAAACUGGGGGAAAAAAUUAUAAUAUCCUUUUGCUCUUAGGAAGAAAAAUGUUUCAGAGUGGAUGUGAGCUAUGGCAGAAGGGACUCGUGGUCAGCAAAGUCUGCAGAGAGAGAGAGGGAGAGAGUAGAAGGGUCUGUUAUGUGGGAAAAGGCCUUUCUGUUGUGGUGCAGACCACAGAGUGUUCCUCUGCAGCUGUGGGGGGUUCUUGCAGUGCUGCAGGGAUGCUGUUUGUCGUCAGCAGGGGAUCCCUGUCAUUCUGAGCCUCCUUGACAACUUUGGCCAAAGGGAUUGCUGCUCUGUUCAGUUGUCUAAAAGUGAGUUACCUGACUGUAUUGCUGAGGUUUCUGGACUGAUUCAAGGUUCGUGGUUUGCUGGGAGUUCUGUGUGCCUGCCAAGGGCACUCUGAGGUGCUGGGUGUUACAGUGUUGUGAUGGGCUUUGAGCAGCUGGGGCUAUACCAUGAAAUUGCUUUUGCAGGAGGUGCUUACAGAUGUGUGCCAUGAGGCUGCCAUCUUGCCUGUGAGGUGGAGCAUAAGCAAGAUGAUGCUUCUUUGCCAGCUGCAUAUUCCUUCAUUUUGCCUUUGGCGUAGAAGGUGUAAGUGUCACCCAAAUGCUGAGCAGAUUAGGCUGGGUUCAUGUCAGCAUCAUGGUCUGGUGACAGUGGCAUCUGUGCUACUGCUGAAACCUUUGAGUAGAGAGGAAGUACAGAUGAGGCUGAAUGUUGCGUACUCUGGUUUGUUGCUUAUUCUGAUGUUUUCUGCCUGAUGUUUGGUUUAUGGUCCUUGACUUCGGGGUUUCACAGCUUUGUUAAGGAUGCCAAGACACAAUAUGAGAAGUUGCAAAUGAUGUACUCAGACACAGAGGACCUCUAUACUGUACUGGGCCAGUACUUUCUGUUUGACCCCCAGAAACUGGCUGUUGAUAGCAUCUUCAUAGAACUGAGUAACUUUAGAAACAGGUUUCUGGUGAGCAAGAUGUCCUUUUCUCCUCUUAAUUCUGAGGUGUUCCCUUCAUUGCCCAGAUGUGCCAUUUUCUUACUCCUCUUCCAAAGAGGGUUGUUAACUGCUUUUGUGUGGUUUUUUUUCCCCUACCCAACCAUACUGCAGCCCCUAAGCAGCUGUUCCUCCUGUUCUGCAGUGAGCUGUCACAGAGAAUCAGAAGCAGCAUGAUACAGAUGAUAUGCCAUGCAAAGCUCAUGAAAGAGGAGGCAGAGAAGAAGCAGCAGGAGUGACAGCAGCGGGAAGAACUGGUAGACAUGAAUGCAGGCCUGAGAUACAAUUGGGUGUUUGGGACAGCAGACGGUUUGGACUAGAUGCAAAGCUCUACUAAUAAUGUGUGUGGAGAGCUACAGGUGAAGAAAGAAAUGCUCUGCAGCUGAAUUCCCAGGGGUGGAGGCUUGGGACAACAUGAGUGGGACAGGUAGACAGGGACAGGGGCAACAUGAAUGGGACAGGGGUUGGAGGCUUAGGACAACGGGAGUGCAAAUUACUCUCUUCUUUACUGAGGGGGUAAGUCCUGAGAGCAGCAAUUAGCAGGUUUGCCUACAGAGCUUUAAACUUAGGUGUUGGACAAGUCAUAUCUUCAGUGAUAGGCAAAGCCUACUAAGGUACAGAGAACAUUGCCAAACCUAAGGGCCUUCUUAAGAGGCUUUUUGCCUAUAUAAAAUGCAGCAAAUUGCACAACACAGCAAAACCCUGUAUGGCCAUUCAGUGCUGUAGUCCUGCAUUCUGUCUCCUCCCUUGUUUUCUUGGGAUGCCUUGUUUUCGGUGUAGUGUCAGAGCUCUACUCCCCCUUCCCAAAUGCAGGCGUCUGGUGUUAGGCUCCUCUAUUGCAACCACAUACAUUUCAGAUUUCUUUACAAAUGUGUUUUCAAAGGGGGGAGGAGGAGAGGCCAUAAACAGUCUUAUGAGCUUUCCCAGUGCUGUAGCUGGAACCUGGGCGUCCCUAAAGCAGUGGGACAGCCUCUGUGGGCUAGCCUAGCGAUGACUGUGCGGACUCAGGUUGCUCAUUCAUCACCCCAUCUGUACCCUUACCUCAAAGUGAGUGAAUCCUACAAUAGCAGGUACUCCUGCACCAAAGCUGUCCAGCUUUCUGGGAGAAGAGCGGACCUGGCAUCCCUCCUGACGCUGCCCAAUGAAUGGCAAAACCAUGUUCUGAUGUUACUGUUGUCCACUUUCCUUUCUAGCUCCGUGCACGCUCAGGGACAUGGAUGUAGAUCUAACCCUGUCACUUUGUAAUAAAACAGCUAUUUCCUUCACCUUUUUGCAAUGUUACCUGUUACAUUAAGAUGUUAAUGAGUUUAAGGUUGGAAGCUUCCUGAACCUGUAGCUGCUGUAGACACAGACCUGAAAGCUUACAGAAGUGACAAGUGACCUGUCUCAGCAUUUGUGAUUAGUCUGAAUUCAGCCUUCUGUGUGGUCCAGGAGGUUAAUGUGACUCUGCGAGUGCCCUGUACCGUCCCCACUGCAUGGACUUUUUUCUCCCUUAGCCUGCUCCCCGCUACCAGAUGCAUUCUUCCCUUCCAACAUACGGACUCAAUUACUGUCCCUCUCUCUUGAUUUCCUGCCUCUCUGGGUUUCCUGAAACACUCCCCCUCCUCCUGGCAGCUUGAACUCCCGCAGUGAGAUGCUUUGCAAGCUCUCCUAUUCCUCCCUCCCACUGCUUUGCUGCCUCUGACAAGGUGGUCCUGAUCCAGAGCACACACAGAUAAGGCUGCAGACCCACACUGUUGCUAUAGCUGAGUCCCAGAACCCCAAGGGCUUGGCUUGCCACAGCAAAACUAGCCAGCCCGCUAAAUGCAUGCUCAGUGUCUAGUAGGGUUGUGUCCCAGCUCCUCCUGACAGAGGUCCCCACCCUGCUUCAUCAUCGUUCCUAGACUAUCCUGUAGUUUUCAGCCAACUGCUUUAUUUGCAAGACUUGGGGUUUUUUUUCCCGUUCCGUUCUGAGGCCAUGGCUUCCUGAGCCUCUGCGCUUUGAAAGGAGCAUCAAACUGCUCUGGGUUUCUCUUGGGUGCUGUUUGGCUUCCUUCCCGGAGAUGUACUCCUGCAGAAAAUGUAUAUGUUAUGGCUUCUGCCUUUAAAAGCAUGUGAAGAGAGGAGAUGGAGCCCUGUCUUCUGUUAGUGGUUCUCUCAACCCCUGCCUGCUGCUCUGGGGGAGCCUCAGGCACUGCAGCAUUGGGGUGCUGGAAAUCUUAAGAAAUCUGAGCUUGUUCAAGGGGCAGGGGGAGGUGGAAACAGUUAAAUCGUGGAAAUGGUUAAAUCACACAAAUUAACAAGUUAAUGAUUUCCAUCCCCUUGCUGGCAUGUUUCAGUUUUCAGAAGGGGGUCUGGCCAGCAGCUGUGCCAGCAAUUGUAGCUCAAAAAGAGUAUUUUCUUUCUGUGUCAGCUUUCAUCCACAGCCCCUUUGGGUUCCCCUGGCUCCUGCAGAUGCCAGGGUUUCCAGGGCUCCUGCUGCUGAGUCACUGUGUCUGUUUUCCCUCCUGUACCUGGUGAUGGAGUUAGACGAUGAGGCAGGAUGAAAGUGGCACUGUUUGCCCCCUGCUUGCUUCCGGCCCCACCCUUCCCCCAGCAGAGGAGAGAUGCUUUCCCAGGAUACAAGUGACUCAGCAGCACUUGCAAAUGGAAGGAAAGGCUGCACCUCUGAACCCAGGAGUGCAGGGGAGCAACUUAAGGUACAGCUUGGGGGAAGACCCAACAAAUAAAUACCUGUGGCUGUGCAGUCCUGUAAUCAGCUUCAGAUGUAGGAGCCUUAUUGCAUAAUAAGGUUUAUGUAUUGUGAGAGAGAGAUAUUAUAUAUUGUAUAAUAAGCUUUAUUAUAGCAAGCCUGGACACUGUGUUCCCUCAUCUAAGGUCACUGAGCCCCAGCAACAGGCACGUGGGAAUGGGUUGUUUCUGUGCUGUUGUGUGAGCUUCCCCUCAAGGCAUAGUGUCUGUUCUCUCCUGGACCACUUCCCACGCGAGGAGCAGUAACUGCUUAGGGUCUCCGGAGUCUGAGAGCCCUGUUUGCCCAGCACCCACAGAGCCUUUUGUGUGAGACCUGACUAAACCCAGUACUGCUUUGCUUACCCACAGCAGGAAUGCAUUUGUUGAGCUCUGACACCAGGAGCAUCACCUUAAAUGUGUAACACCUCCCUAACUUCCUACUUACCUUCUCCAAAUGCCCUUUCCUAUUGCAAGCAGCAGUGGAAGCAUGGAAAGGGAAAAGCCCAAACUUCUCAAAUCAGGUAAAGUACCAAGGGUUUUUAGAAAUCCUUGAGUAUGCUAAAGCUGGAGGGGCAGUAACUGAAGCACAGAGGUGAGGCAGGGACCCUAACCAUCAGUGUCACAGCACCCUUCCUCAGCCUUCCUGUCCCUUUGUCUGGCUUGGGCUGAGUUCAGUCUGAUGUUCCCAUUGGGCCACCACCCUGUCUCAUCCUCAGAGACCCUUUGGAGCAGUGCAGACCCUCCACUUGGGCUUGGCACAAGUGGAUGGGUAAGGGUAAGAAACUAGAAAGCCCUAAGAGAUGCCAGCGGCUUACUGCUGUCACUCAAACCUGCUCUGGAAACUGAGAGCCCCCACAGGUGAAUUUGGACUGGUUUGCUCCGAGGAGCAUCUCUGCCAGCCAAAGUCCCAGUGCUGUGGCCCUCCUAGGAGCUCCCCAAGGCUCUGGUGACUUGUGGGGUGUAUACCUGCACCCUCCGUCCUUACAGCCCCCUUCACUAGCCCCAAGCCCGGGCCUGGUAGCCAAGUUUCACGGCCCAGCUCCCCCCCGCUCGCCGGGCUGGGGCGCUGGUGUUGCCGGCAGGUGGCAGCCUGUGCGGGCGGCACGCGCAGCCUGUCGCAGAGGUUUAACGGGAUUGCGCAGCUCCGGGUUUCUCCGGGAGCCGUUGUCACGGGAACGGCGACCUGCGGCGAGCCCGAGCGCCCGGCGUUAACCCCCUCGGUGCCGCGCCGCUGGGAGGCUGCGGUGGCUAGUGGGGCUGGAGCGAUGGAUGUUUUACAGGAAGCUUUGCAGUCCAGCAGCCUGUCCCACUGGAGCUGGGGAGUGUGGCAGGAACCAAGCAAAACCAGCAAAGCCUGCGAAAUGACAAGAGUUGGAGGCAUCAUUGAGGAGACGGUGGUGAUCAUCAGCUGCUCGAGCUAGACAUUGCCCCUGGAUAAAGACAGAGCACUGCUGGACCUGCGAGAGCUUUCAGUAAGUAAAGUUUCAUUCUGGGAUCUGUGCAUGGCUAUGAAGGAUAAUUUAUUUUCCUUCUUGCUCUUGGGGCUGUUUGUGCCAUUUUGUGUUGUUUUAGCUGUCCUGUCUGAUCUUUAGUCUGUCCCUGGAGACAACUGAAGGGUCAAAGGCUUCAAUCAAAGGGAACAACAUCAUCUGCAGUUCUCGUGCUGGAGCAGACUGGGCAGAAAGGCAGGGACAGAGUAAAACCACAGCCCUCCCUGCACGUGGAUCAGUGCUGGGGUACCAAAGCAGGGACCCAGGGUCUUGUCUUGCAGGGUGCUGGCUCUUGGUGCAAUAGUUUACAGUGGGGAUGGUUCUGCCCCAGCUCAUGCAUUCUAGGCAUUGAGUUGUUUUCUUGUUCUAAUUUAAAAUCUUUGUAAUGUUGAAGUCAUGGAGUGAUCCAUAACAGCCCAGCAUCAUCUGGGACCAGCAUGCAGCUUGGCUGCUGUCACUUCCCUGCAGGAGGAGGAGGCCAACUGAUCCCAGCCCAGGUACGAGCUGGGGUACCAGGAGUGUAGAGAAAGAAACAGAGUGGCUGGGAAUGCUCUUGGAGAGAAGGCAGGUUGGCACUCUCUGGUCUGUGAGAGCCACCCAGGGAGGGGCGAGCCAGCACUGGCAGUGCAGCAGGGUCUGGGGACCUUUCAGUAUGGCUGGGGUGACCCAGCACAGGGCUUCCUGUGAGAGCUUGUGCCUGCCUGAGCACUACUGGGAGCACUGUCCCUCCUGGGGUCACACCAAGGCUUUGCAGCUUUUAGUUUUAGUGCACUUUUAUGUUCAAUAAUAAUACAAUUCUACUUUUUGUAGCACUUCAGGAGUUCCUGGGGCCUGUUAUCACAUCACAGGUUGGAAGCACUAAUACAAAGCUGGGCUUGCUUAAGAGAGUGUGUUCUCCUGUGCCAGGUCAGCCCGGCAGCCCUGUGUGGCACGUGGCACGGCCACCAGUCCCAUCAUGGCAGCAGCUGCGCACGGCAGAGCUCUUUGUGCAGGGCACAAUGCCUGCUCACUGCUUCAGAUGCACUUCGUGUCUAUUAUCUCGCUGCUAUCCCAGGUGCUCGGCUCCAGCAUGCAAACUCGGUGGUGCAUGAAUCGGAGAGAAUAACAGCGAGCAAGCAGCUGCAGAUGGGCCCUGGGGAAGAGGUAGGUGCAUGCCUGCAUACAUGAGGUUUGUGCCUGAAAGAGAAAAACACUGAUUGUAGAGGGGAGAAGAGUUGCCCCAGUUCAGCAUUGAGCAGCUGGUUGGGCAGUAUGGUGCUGGUUGUGGUCCAGGGACUCCCCACACUCAAACCUGGCUAACCAGGAGCCCAUUAGAACCAGGAAGGGAUGAGGAAGUAAAAAAGGGCAGGUAGGAUAAUUAAGCCAACGGUCACUCUGCCUGGGGCAUCAGACUGCUCAUUGAGGGGCCAAGAGCUGUGCCACCCCCAUGUCAGGGUGAUGGCGGGCUCUGCCAGUCCGGUAAGUGCAGGUAGGAGUUGCCUUUGUACAGCCAAAUGCCUGUGGCAGCAUUUAGCAGCCCUGGAAAGCUGCAGGAUUGAAAGAGAAAUUGGGAUGCAUGAGCUGCACCUGGGCCAGCCUGACGCCUUACCUGAGAGCUUUUAUUUUCCUGUCACAGUUCCCUUAAUAUAAAGACUUUUUUCAUGUCUUUGCAGUUGUGGGCAAGUUGUGCUCUGGUAGCACUGUGUUAUCAUGACAGUUUGUAAGUACAAAAGAUGGAGAAAUAAACACUCUUUUUGGUAUGAAAACAUGGUCUUGCUUCCAUAUCAUAACUCUGCUGGUGCAGAGACAAACCUGGAGCCUUGUGGCGCUGAGCCACAGGGUCCUCAUCCAGGCUGGGGUGGGCAGCUGGAGCAGCACUGCGGUUGCCUGCAGUGGGCUGGGUGCUGCCACCACUUCCCAGGAGGUGGCUGGAAGUCCUGUUCUCACCACAGCAAAUCCACAUUGGCAAACCUGGUCUGAGAGCCCAGGCAUGGAGUGGGCUCGGGGGUGGAGGUGUCCCCCCUGCCCAAAUAUCACCCAGCCUGAAAGCCAGGUAGUUGGGGGAUCUGGCAAGGACAGGAGCCCCUCUCACUGUCCAAAUACUGUGAUGGAUAUUUCCCAGGGAUAAAACAGUAAGCAGAGCCCUGGUCACACCACUUGAGCCUUUCUUGUCCCCAAAGGUGUACAUACAUGUGUGUCAGCUCUGUUACAGCAGUGUCUGUCCAGGUGACCCCCAUGGAGGGGUCCUCCUGCCCUUGCUGUCAUAUGAGUAGCACCAGCCAGGCCACCAGCUGAAUUUAGAGGUCAACCGAGCCAGAAAUCGGCCAGCCUGCGUUCCCCGCUGCUCUGCUGGGAGGAAGGACAGUUUCUCCCAGAUGGCCACCUUGGAGGGACAAAUGCUUUGCCACGUGCUGGUAGCCCUGUUUUG